rnacentral:rRNA from 1 species
GCGACUUAUAUUCUGUAGCAAGGUUAACCGAAUAGGGGAGCCGGAGGGAAACCGAGUCUUAACCGGGCGUUAAGUUGCAGGGUAUAGACCCGAAACCCGGUGAUCUAGCCAUGGGCAGGUUGAAGGUUGGGUAACACUAACUGGAGGACCGAACCGACUAAUGUUGAAAAAUUAGCGGAUGACCUGUGGCUGGGGGUGAAAGGCCAAUCAAACCGGGAGAUAGCUGGUUCUCCCCGAAAGCUAUUUAGGUAGCGCCUCGUGAAUUCAUCUCCGGGGGUAGAGCACUGUUUCGGCUAGGGGGCCAUCCCGGCUUACCAACCCGAUGCAAACUGCGAAUACCGGAGAAUGUUAUCACGGGAGACACACGGCGGGUGCUAACGUCCGUCGUGAAGAGGGAAACAACCCAGACCGCCAGCUAAGGUCCCAAAGUCAUGGUUAAGUGGGAAACGAUGUGGGAAGGCCCAGACAGCCAGGAUGUUGGCUUAGAAGCAGCCAUCAUUUAAAGAAAGCGUAAUAGCUCACUGGUCGAGUCGGCCUGCGCGGAAGAUGUAACGGGGCUAAACCAUGCACCGAAGCUGCGGCAGCGACACUGUGUGUUGUUGGGUAGGGGAGCGUUCUGUAAGCCUGUGAAGGUGUGUCGUGAGGCAUGCUGGAGGUAUCAGAAGUGCGAAUGCUGACAUAAGUAACGAUAAAGCGGGUGAAAAGCCCGCUCGCCGGAAGACCAAGGGUUCCUGUCCAACGUUAAUCGGGGCAGGGUGAGUCGACCCCUAAGGCGAGGCCGAAAGGCGUAGUCGAUGGGAAACGGGUUAAUAUUCCCGUACUUGGUGUUACUGCGAAGGGGGGACGGAGAAGGCUAUGUUGGCCGGGCGACGGUUGUCCCGGUUUAAGCGUGUAGGUGUGUGUUCCAGGUAAAUCCGGUUCACUUUAACACUGAGGCGUGACGACGAGGCACUACGGUGCUGAAGCAACAAAUGCCCUGCUUCCAGGAAAAGCCUCUAAGCAUCAGGUAACAUCAAAUCGUACCCCAAACCGACACAGGUGGUCAGGUAGAGAAUACCAAGGCGCUUGAGAGAACUCGGGUGAAGGAACUAGGCAAAAUGGUGCCGUAACUUCGGGAGAAGGCACGCUGACACGUAGGUGAAGUGAUUUACUCAUGGAGCUGAAGUCAGUCGAAGAUACCAGCUGGCUGCAACUGUUUAUUAAAAACACAGCACUGUGCAAACACGAAAGUGGACGUAUACGGUGUGACGCCUGCCCGGUGCCGGAAGGUUAAUUGAUGGGGUCAGCGCAAGCGAAGCUCCUGAUCGAAGCCCCGGUAAACGGCGGCCGUAACUAUAACGGUCCUAAGGUAGCGAAAUUCCUUGUCGGGUAAGUUCCGACCUGCACGAAUGGCGUAAUGAUGGCCAGGCUGUCUCCACCCGAGACUCAGUGAAAUUGAACUCGCUGUGAAGAUGCAGUGUACCCGCGGCAAGACGGAAAGACCCCGUGAACCUUUACUAUAGCUUGACACUGAACAUUGAGCCUUGAUGUGUAGGAUAGGUGGGAGGCUUUGAAGUGUGGACGCCAGUCUGCAUGGAGCCGACCUUGAAAUACCACCCUUUAAUGUUUGAUGUUCUAACGUGGACCCGUUACCCGGGUUGCGGACAGUGUCUGGUGGGUAGUUUGACUGGGGCGGUCUCCUCCUAAAGAGUAACGGAGGAGCACGAAGGUUGGCUAAUCCUGGUCGGACAUCAGGAGGUUAGUGCAAUGGCAUAAGCCAGCUUGACUGCGAGCGUGACGGCGCGAGCAGGUGCGAAAGCAGGUCAUAGUGAUCCGGUGGUUCUGAAUGGAAGGGCCAUCGCUCAACGGAUAAAAGGUACUCCGGGGAUAACAGGCUGAUACCGCCCAAGAGUUCAUAUCGACGGCGGUGUUUGGCACCUCGAUGUCGGCUCAUCACAUCCUGGGGCUGAAGUAGGUCCCAAGGGUAUGGCUGUUCGCCAUUUAAAGUGGUACGCGAGCUGGGUUUAGAACGUCGUGAGACAGUUCGGUCCCUAUCUGCCGUGGGCGCUGGAGAACUGAGGGGGGCUGCUCCUAGUACGAGAGGACCGGAGUGGACGCAUCACUGGUGUUCGGGUUGUCAUGCCAAUGGCACUGCCCGGUAGCUAAAUGCGGAAGAGAUAAGUGCUGAAAGCAUCUAAGCACGAAACUUGCCCCGA